rnacentral:rRNA from 1 species
UACGUAGGGGGGCGAGCGUUGUCCGGAGUACUGGGCGUAAAGCGCACGCAGGCGGUCUGCUAAGUUUGGAGUGACAGUUGGUGGCUUAACUGCCAAAGUGCUUCGAAAACUGACAGACUUGAGGGCUUCAGAGGGACACGGAAUUCCGGGUGGAGUGGUGAAAUGCGUAGAGAUCCGGAGGAACACCGAUGGCGAAGGCAGGUCACUGGGCCGCAACUGACGCUGAGGAGCGAAAGCAUGGGGAGCGAACAGG